rnacentral:miRNA from 1 species
UGGGAUGAGUGCCUUUAUGUCAGGAUAGUGCAAAAGUAAUCGUGGUUUUUGCCCAUUACUUUUAAAUGGCAAAAACUGCAAUUACUUUUGUACUAACCUAUUAAAAAA